rnacentral:rRNA from 1 species
GCGAACGCUGGCGGCAGGCCUAACCCAUGCCAGUCGAACGGAUCCUUCGGGAUUAGUGGCGGACGGGUGAGUAACACGUGGGAACGUGCCCUUUGGUUCGGAACAACUCAGGGAAACUUGAGCUAAUACCGGAUGUGCCCUUCGGGGGAAAGAUUUAUCGCCAUUGGAGCGGCCCGCGUCUGAUUAGCUAGUUGGUGAGGUAACGGCCCACCAAGGCGACGAUCAGUAGCUGGUCUGAGAGGAUGAUCAGCCACACUGGGACUGAGACACGGCCCAGACUCCUACGGGAGGCAGCAGUGGGGAAUCUUGCGCAAUGGGCGAAAGCCUGACGCAGCCAUGCCGCGUGAAUGAUGAAGGUCUUAGGAUUGUAAAAUUCUUUCAGCGGGGACGAUAAUGACGGUACCCGCAGAAGAAGCUCCGGCUAACUUCGUG